ensembl:lncRNA
GAUCCAGGGAGCACAGUGAGGAGGUCCUCCUCAGGUGGAGGACCCCGCCUGGGCCCUGAUCCAGGGAGCACAGUGAGGAGAUCCUCCUCAGGUGGCGGACCCCGCCUGGGUCCCGAUCCAGGGAGCUCAGUGAGGAGAUCCUCCUCAGGUGGCGGACCCCGCCUGGGUCCCGAUCCAGGGAGCACAGUGAGGAGGCCCUCCUCAGGUGGCGGACCCCGCCUGGGUCCCGAUCCAGGGAGCACAGUGAGGAGGCCCUCCUCUCCUCCUCAGGUGGCAGACCCCGCCCGGGCCCCGAUCCAGGGAGCACAGUGAGGAGGUCCUCCUCUCCUCAGGUGGUGGACCCCGCCUGGGCCCCUAACUGGCUUUGGCUUUUCAGGCUCUGCUGCGCAGUCCUUGAGUCUUGAGCACCGCAGAGAUGGCAGGACUUUAGAAACAAGGUCACAGCGGUAUCAACAGCAUCUAAGUAAGUGGAUGGGACUCUGGUAGCUAAUUAUUGUCUGUGACCUUAUGGACAGAAGUGCCCAGUGAGGGGAAGACAUUGAGAAACUGCAGGAGACGGGGGUUCCAUCCCUGGAUCAAGAAGACCCUCUAGAGGAGGC